CCUACGGGGGGCAGCAGUGAGGAAUAUUGGUCAAUGGACGAGAGUCUGAACCAGCCAAGUAGCGUGAAGGAUGACUGCCCUAUGGGUUGUAAACUUCUUUUAUAAAGGAAUAAAACGAGGCACGUGUGCCCUUUUGCAUGUACUUUAUGAAUAAGGAUCGGCUAACUCCGUGCCAGCAGCCGCGGUAAUACGGAGGAUCCGAGCGUUAUCCGGAUUUAUUGGGUUUAAAGGGAGCGUAGAUGGGUUGUUAAGUCAGUUGUGAAAGUUUGCGGCUCAACCGUAAAAUUGCAAUUGAUACUGGCAGUCUUGAGUACAGUUGAGGUAGGCGGAAUUCGUGGUGUAGCGGUGAAAUGCUUAGAUAUCGCGAAGAACCCCGAUUGCGAAGGCAGCUUACUAAACUGUGACUGACAUUGAUGCUCGAAAGUGUGGGUAUCAAACAGGAUUAGAUACCCUGGUAGUC
rnacentral:rRNA from 1 species